CUUUUCUUUCCAUUAACCAUCUGUUAAAGGAAUCUUUUGGAGCAUCUAUAGAUUCACGAGUAUGACACAAUUCUUGAUAACAUUGUCUCAGUUUUGCAAGUAAACCACAACGUAAUGCUUCUGCUUCAGGAUGAACAUGAGCGGGAACAACACUAUCUUCAGAAGCUCGGCGUUUAAGUGUUCCUCCUGAAGGAAUAGUUCCAUUUCCAGAAGUAGGUGGCACACCACAAAUGCCAAGUGGAUCCGUAAUUGGAUCAAACUUAAAUAUAGAUAAAAUUGACACUUAUAAGUUUAUAUUUUUAUUAAUCUAUAAUCAAAUUUUAUACCUUAGUACCUGAGGUUUCAGAGGUGGUAUUACCCAUAAAGAUUCUCCAGUUAAUUUAUUCCAAAAAUAUGGACGAUUUUCUCGUUUACUCCAAAAUUUUUUCCAUCCUUGUUGUUGAAGUUCAGGUGAAAGUUCAGAUUCUGGAAAUGUUCCUGGUGGUGUACCCUAUAAUUGAAUAAUAAACUAUGAAAUAUGAAA